CAUAGUCCGCCCGGCCGCAGUCGGAGUAUUUCCCCUCAGCCUGUUCUUGGUGCUUUGCCGUAUUGAAAGCCAACAUAGCUUUGUUUUGUCUUCCAAAGAAGCUUCCCUAAUGUGAGCAGGACAGAAUUAAAGGGAAACAUGAAGAGAAGGAGAACCCAGGCUCCUGCGUGGAAAACCGCCCAUGCGUAAUGAGACGACCCGCUCCGCCAUUCUCAAUUCUCCGACGCCGUUGGCUCUGGUAAAAAUGGAUGAAGCAGCUGGUGGAGUACACGGGACCAUUCAGGGUCUGGUCUACAGCUUCUUUUGGAGAAAGACGGUGAGGAAGAUCCAGGUUGUGAGGGCAUCGACUAAACAGCUAAACGGUGACAUCUAGUGGUGAUUUCUAGUUUGAGUACUCACGGUGAACGAGUGGGCAGCCUACACGGGUGAACGAGUACCUGUUCCUACCAACGCCACACUGAACUUGCGCAAUCCAACGUCAUGCGUGCAAUUUAAUGUACAUUCAUGAUCUUAAAAUAAGCCUGAUGCUGGAAGCACACAUGCCCUCAGAACUCUUUCACUUUUAAUGUUACAAAAGCAGCAACUGAAGCCCUAACUGGGCUUUAAGCUAAGAAUGUAUUUUAGAUAUUGUUUUUCCCCACCAUGUAAGUGUACACGUGCUGUCUUGAUUUUGAUUUAUUUAUUUUAAUUUAUUCACCCUGAAGGCGCUGAUUUUUUACAAUUCGUUUUUUUUCCUUUUCUCAUUUCUAUAGUUUUUUUUUUUUCUCAAAAAAGAUUCAGGAUUGUUGCAUCAGGCUGGCCUUUGAAAAACUGUGAAAACUGUUGUCACAGUAUAUUAUUUUUGAUAGAUAAUUCGUUAUGUUUGGUUUGCAGUGACCUUGCAAACCUUCUUUCACACGUUACUGGUAGAAAACUCUUCAAAAUCACUUCAGUGUGUCUGGUAUUAAUGUAAUGGCGAAAGAAAAUGUGAACAUUUAGACAGUUUAGGAAACAGUGUCAAUAAAGAUGCUGUAAACAUUAAAACUGUUACUUGCCAGCAUCUGCACACUCCUGCUCCAGUCUGCACAAGUGAAGCAGUCAGUACAAUACAUCGGAGCAUUAGCCUCAUUGUUAUAUAUAAUUUUAAAAGAGUAACUCGCUUACUUUUAGAUCGUGAAUAAUUUGUUUAAAGCAUAUUUAAAGCGAUGCAUGUAGACAUGUUACUGAUGUAGCAAUUACUUGUGAAAUAAAACAAUAUCCAAAACGUGUUGAAUCUGUUUCUUCGAUUUGCCACCUUUAAAUACGUGCAAUUAAUAGAUGACGUGUGACAAGUUUUUGUAUCAUUUCUUGUUACGUAUUAAAGAAAAAAAAAGCGUAUUUCUCAGCGAAAAAAAACGACUGCCAAAUUGUAGACUACAAACCGAGUAGGGAGGAAAAACGGUAGAAAAGCAAACGAAACCUAAAUGCAAUUAGUUCCUCGAUAAUUCUGAAACCAUCCUACAGGUAGGCCUAUGUUCACAGCAACCCACUGCAACGCUUCUCUUCCUGGAAAAUAUAUUUAUUCAUAUCGAUUCACAAUUUUUCUGCAUGUGCUAAGUAAAUAAAUAAAUAACGCUAACGUUAAGAAGCGAUAACUUCCUGUUAAUAUUCACUUCAAGGAACAAUGACUUCAGAUCAUCAAGAAACGAUAGAAAAGGGGCCUUUAGAAAAUAUAGACGGUAGACAUAUAUUACAUAUAAAACGCUAUAAAAAGGAUUUCUUUGGAAUUACAAAAUGUUCGAAAUCUCGCGAUGGAUUUAUUUUUUAUUUUUGUAAAACUGUAAUUCGUGUGUUUUUUCUGUGUGUGUGUGUGUGUCUGUCUAUAUGGGUAUUCACUAAUGUUAUUACAUUUCCAUUCGAAAAAAGUGAUUCUUUCAGGUAAGCUAUGCGGACCUGUACUGCCUGCAGAAAAAUGCAUGAACAGUCAGGAAAAUUUCUUCCUUUUUUGCGUUUUGAUAACCACACAACUCAAUAAUUGUUACAACAAAGUUAAGCUAUAUUUUGGGGGUCAGUCAUUGCGAAAUAACUGUUAUAAGAAAAGCUGAAAAAAUAAAGACUUUAAUGGAUUUUAUAGAAUAAGCUGUCCACUCUUUCUUUGAUUCACACUUCUGAGUUGUUUUGGUUUUUUUUCCACUUUUUUUUAUUGAAGAAAAAGCGAGUAGGACAGGAGUAGGCCUAAACCUUUACCUUGUUUCUUGUCGUGUGGGAGCAUGCGACUGUGAUUGCAUUGUUUAGGAUCUAUGUGCUCUCAUGUUCAAAUGUAGUUUGAUUUACUACUCAGAAAGAUGAUGCCACUGUAAUUGUGAGGCCAACUGUUAAAAAAACUGUUUAAAUAUUAAACAAAUGUUGUUGCUGUUGCUUUUUUACAAUUAUUAUUUAUUUGUCAUUAUAAAUAUAAAAAUGCGUCUAUUGAAAAAAAAUGUGGAUGUCAAAUUAUCUGCAAGUGAAGUUGCUAUGGCACCAUGUCCCUUCUUCAUUUCCUCAUGGAAGCUCUUUGUGUUGAUAUGUUUUUUGAGUCUGCAUGGUAUGAAAGCAAUCACUGUAUGGGAUGCAUGUAGAAACAAGUCAAACACAAUGAAAUCACACCAAGUCACAUCAGGAUAACUAAGAAAGCCAGUAACUUUACUGAAAUCUCUGCAAAAUACAAAUAGCCUUUCCCUCCUGCAGAGGAGACUUUUAUUUCAUCCCCAUACGUUUUCACUACAUACAGCUGAAUCAAGUCCCUUGAGUUACAGAGAUGUGAUUUUAAUUUAAUACCAUCUUAGUCUCAAGUGGCGACAAAGGCCAGCUUAUGCCGCUGAAAGCCGCUCCUGCAUUCCAAAAAACCUUAGUUACAAACGUCCGCCCCCAUCAUCAGGUUUAUACAAGCUACAUUGAAACUACAGACUGACUUUUUAAGUAUUUUAACAUAUUACUCUUUUUUUUUAAAUUUCAGCUUUUGAGUACAACUUAAAUAAACCACAAACACAGAGGAGCAACAAAGAAUCCCGUAGCAUGUGAAUGUUGGGACCUUAAGCAAUUGUUAUUACACAUGGCUGUACAGGUGAAUGGUCUCCCCUUUGCACGUUAAGUGACUUAUCAAAAAAUCAGCUGAGGUACUGCUUGGGUCAAUUUUGAGGUACCAACAUUUAGUCUGAUAUAGUAAUGACAAAGAACAACUGAUCAACAGAUGAAGAAAAAAAUUGGCUUCAAAUUGAACAAACGUAGAAAGAAGAAGAAGAAAAAAAACACAUCAAAGAUAUAAAGACAAGCUUUCUCCAUGUCUUUGGUUAAAAAUACUGUCAAAACUAUAGCACUCUAAUUAACUGUCAGGACAUGUUGGCAUUAUUUUAUUCAGCGAGCAAGCAGUGUGUAAUGUUGAUUGAUGAAGUGAAAAACAAGUAUAGCUUUCACACGGGCCUGAAUGAUUCCGAGUUAAGUAACAAAUUGUAAAUAGAAAAUGCGUUUUUCCUUUUCUUUUUGUUUUUUUUUCCCAUGUAACCUUUUUCGAUACGCUGCACAGGGAGACAAAUGAACAAGAAAACAGGUAAAUUAAUACGAUUCCUAUGGACAAUGCAGUUUGAUGGCUAAAGCUACAAUAACUAACUGAAAGUGAAAUGUGAAAACAGUUGUGAAUUUAAGCAGAAUCUUUUAUUAUCUUGUUUCAAUGCUUGCAAAAAAAAAAAAAAAAAACAA